rnacentral:lncRNA from 1 species
GUAAGCUUAGGUCUCCAGCAGAUGUAACAUCUCAGAGAGUGACUCUGAAAUGGGUGCAGUCUGGUGAACAGAACAGAACAUACUGGGAAGCCAUUGUUAUAGCCAUUAAGCACUUGUUUUCAAAGAGUUUUAAGCGAUUUGUAAGAAAAGGACUGGAAGACCUAACCCAACAGAGAACAAGCCACGGGGUGGGGGUGGGGCAGUUCAAUAAAGCCAAUCUCACAGAGAUAAUGGAAUUAUCUGGCAGGGUAAAUCUCUGCUCCUGCAGAGCCGAGGGAACAAGGAACGGCCAGCCGGCCUCAGUGCGAGUCCAGAAGCACUGUGUACUGAUUUCUCUCUA